rnacentral:rRNA from 1 species
AAUUGCGGGGGCCCGCACAAGCGGUGGAGAAUGUGGUUUAAUUNGACGCAACGCGAAGACCCUUACCUGGGUUUGACAUCCCAUGCUCGCUCCAAAGAUGGAGUUUUCCUUUCGGGGAACAUGGUGACAGGUGCUGCAUGGCUGUCGUCAGUUCGUGUCGUNAGAUGUUGGGUUAAGUCCCGCAACGAGCGCAACCCUUGUUCUUAGUUGCCAGCGGAUCAUGCCGGGCACUNUAGGAAGACUGCCGGUNAUAAGCCGGAGGAAGGUGGGGAUGACGUCAAGUCCUCAUGGCCUUUAUAUCCAGGGCUACACACGUCCUACAAUGGCACUUACAAUGAGCAGCGAACCUGCGAGGGUAAGCGAAUCUCAAAAAGGGUGUCUCAGUUCGGAUUGCAGUCUGCAACUCGACUGCAUGAAGUCGGAAUCGCUAGUAAUCGCGCAACAGCAUGGCGCGGUGAAUACGUUCCCGGGCCUUGUACACACCGCCCGUCACACCAUGGGAGUUGACAUUGGCAGAAGACGUUGCGCCAACCCUUUUGGGGGGCAGGCGUCCAAGCUGGUGUUGAUGAAANGGGUGAAGUCGUAACAAGGUAGCCG